rnacentral:rRNA from 1 species
UACAGAGGUGGCAAGCGUUGUUCGGAAUUACUGGGCGUAAAGGGUGUGUAGGUGGCGCGCUAAGUCGGGUGUGAAAUUUCGGAGCUUAACUCCGAAACUGCAUUCGAUACUGGCGUGCUUGAGGACUGGAGAGGAGACUGGAAUUCAUGGUGUAGCAGUGAAAUGCGUAGAGAUCAUGAGGAAGACCAGUGGCGAAGGCGGGUCUCUGGACAGUUCCUGACACUGAGACACGAAGGCCAGGGGAGCAAACGGG